rnacentral:rRNA from 1 species
CGCGGGUCAGCAUACCGCGGUGAAUGUGUUCCUGAGCCUUGUACACACCGCCCGUCAAGCCACGAAAGUGGGGGGCGCACGAAGUCACUGGGGUAACCCGAAAGGGAGCUAAGUGCCGAAUGCGAAAUCCGCGAUUGGGACUAAGUCGUAACAAGGUAGCCGUAGGGGAACCUGCGGCUGGAUCACCUCCUUUCUAAGGA